UGUCCAAGAUUGGGAAUCGAACCCACAGUGUUCCACUUACCAGGCAGAUGCCAUGUCCACUAGGCUACCCUGGAC
rnacentral:tRNA from 1 species